rnacentral:rRNA from 1 species
GUAGUCAUAUGCUUGUCUCAAAGAUUAAGCCAUGCAUGUCUAAGUAUAAGCAAAAUAUAUAGUGAAACUGCGAAUGGCUCAUUAAAUCAGUUAUCGUUUAUUUGAUGAUACUUUACUACUUGGAUAACCGUGGUAAUUCUAGAGCUAAUACAUGCAUAAAAGUCCCGACCCCUGGAAGGGAUGUAUUUAUUAGAUAAAAAGCCAAUGCCUUCGGGCUCUUUGGUGAUUCAUAGUAACUUAACGAAUCGCAUUUGCCUUGUGCUGGCGAUGGUUCAUUCAAAUUUCUGCCCUAUCAACUUUCGAUGGUAGGAUAUAGGCCUACCAUGGUUUCAACGGGUAACGGGGAAUUAGGGUUCUAUUCCGGAGAGGGAGCCUGAGAAACGGCUACCACAUCCAAGGAAGGCAGCAGGCGCGCAAAUUACCCAAUCCCGACACGGGGAGGUAGUGACAAUAAAUAUUGAUACAGGUGGUUUUAUACCUCUUGUAAUUGGAAUGAGUACAAUUUAAAUCUCUUAACGAGGAACAAUUGGAGGGCAAGUCUGGUGCCAGCAGCC